GUGUAAGUGGUUUAGACUUUACUAACGCGCCUCUUGCACCUUUUCUGUUCCGAUUUCGGCAUUUGAUGUCAAUCGUUUGUGACGAGAGGUAAUAAUGAGUUCUUUUAUUGUAUAUUCACCCAAUGCCCGUGGCCUCCCCAGGUCCCGCACUUGGUGUCCGGACACCCGGUUUUCGCCAUUUUUAGGUUAAGGGUCGGAAAUAUAAAUUUGAACCGGAUUCACUAUUGCGUAUUGUAUUGUUUCUAGGCUCUCCGAAAACCACCCUCCGAGACGUUUCUUUAUUUUUUUUCAGCUAUGGUGUCAUGUAUGGUAAGUGUAUUUCUUUUAAUUUGUUUUUUUUUCGUUUGUACUUUGUUCUUCCUCUUUUUAGGGUAUUUUCUUCUUGCUCUGGUGCCUUCCCCUUCUCGACGGAUACUGUAAUAAUUUAUAGGAUAAUCUGGUGAGUGCUACCUUAGAAAUAAUUUUUUUGAUUAGAUUAGAGCUUUUUUUUAAGGAGUGUUAAAUCUGAGCUUAGGCUCGU